AUUGAACGCUGGCGGCAGGCCUAACACAUGCAAGUCGAGCGAGCGGCGGACGGUUGAGUACUGUCUGGGAACCUGCCUGAUGGAUGGGGAUAACUACUGGAAACGGUAGCUAAUACCGCAUACCAUCAGAUUUGCCCCGGUGGGAUUAGCUAGUAGGUGGGGUAACGGCUCACCUAGGCGACGAUCCCUAGCUGGUCUGAGAGGAUGACCAGCCAAACGGGAACUGAGACACGGUCCAGACUCCUACGGGAGGCAGCAGUGGGGAAUAUUGGGCAAUGGGCGAAAGCCUGAGGGAGCAAUGCCGCGUGAGUGAAGAAGGCUUUCGGGUUGUAAAGCACUGUCAGUGGGGAGGCGUUACCCGAAGAAGAAGCAACGGCUAACUACGUGCCAGCAGCCGCGGUAAUAC
rnacentral:rRNA from 1 species